UACGUAGGGCGCAAGCGUUGUCCGGAAUUAUUGGGCGUAAAGAGCUCGUAGGCGGUUUGUCACGUCGGAUGUGAAAGCCCGGGGCUUAACCCCGGGUCUGCAUUCGAUACGGGCAGACUGGAGUGUGGUAGGGGAGAUCGGAAUUCCUGGUGUAGCGGUGAAAUGCGCAGAUAUCAGGAGGAACACCGGUGGCGAAGGCGGAUCUCUGGGCCAUUACUGACGCUGAGGAGCGAAAGCGUGGGGAGCAAACAGG
rnacentral:rRNA from 1 species